rnacentral:rRNA from 1 species
CCUACGGGUGGCAGCAGUGGGGAAUAUUGCACAAUGGGGGAAACUCUGAUGCAGCGACGCCGCGUGCGUGAAGAAGUAACUCGUUAUGUAAAGCUCUAUUAGCAGGGAAGAAAAUGACGGUACCUGAGUAAGAAGCCCCGGCUAACUACGUGCCAGCAGCCGCGGUAAUACGUAGGGGGCAAGCGUUAUCCGGAUUUACUGGGUGUAAAGGGAGCGUAGACGGCAGUGCAAGUCUGGAGUGAAAGGCGGGGGCUCAACCGCCGGACUGCACUGGAAACUGGACGGCUGGAGUGCAGGGGAGGUAAGUGGAAUUCGUGGUGUAGCGGUGAAAUGCGUAGAUAUUAGGAGGAACACCAGUGGCGAAGGCGGCUUACUGGACUGUAACUGACGUUGAGGCUCGAAGGCGUGGGGAGCAAACAGGAUUAGAUACCCGGGUAGUC